CAGAUUGAUAGCUCUUUCUCGAUUCCGUGGGUGGUGGUGCAUGGCCGUUCUUAGUUGGUGGAGCGAUUUGUCUGGUUAAUUCCGAUAACGAACGAGACUCUGGCAUGCUAACUAGUUACGCGACCCCCGAGCGGUCGGCGUCCCCCAACUUCUUAGAGGGACAAGUGGCGUUCAGCCACCCGAGAUUGAGCAAUAACAGGUCUGUGAUGCCCUUAGAUGUCCGGGGCUGUACGCGCGCUACACUGACUGGCUCAGCAUAUGCCUACCCUUCGCUGGCAGGGGCGGGUAACCCGUUGAACCCCAUUCGUGAUGGGGAUUGGGGAUUGCAAUUAUUCCCCAUGAACGAGG
rnacentral:rRNA from 1 species